CUGCAGGGUGAACGCUCACAGCCAUGACAGUUGUCAGAAUACACACCUGUUCAAUGUUUUAUUUGAAUGUCUAAACUUUUUAUGUAAUUUCUGCAUCUUUUAUUAACUGGUUGUGCGUUAUUUGAACUCAUCAGGGUUUUAUGAGGUAUAAUGAGAUACAGUGACAUAUAAUGAGGUAUAAUGAGAUACAGUGAGGUGUAGUGAGGUAUGAUGAGGUUCAGUGAUGUAUGAAGAGGUUCAGGGAGGUACAGUGAGGUAUAAUGAGAUACAGUGACAUAUAAUGAGGUAUAAUGAGGUUCAGUGAGGUGUAAUGAGGUACAGUGGAGUAUAAUGAGGUACAGUGACAUAUGAUGAGGUUCAGUGAGGUACAGUGAUGCAUGAGGUACAAUGAGGUAUAAGGAGGUACAGUAUAAUGAGAUAUAAAGAGGUAUAAUGAGGUACAGUGACAUAAUGAGGUACAGUGACGAAUGAGGUAUAAUGAGGUACAAUGAGGUAUGAUGAGGUACAGUGAGGUGUAAUGAGUUAUAAUGAGGUUCAGUGAGGUAUGAGGUACAGUGACGUAUAAUGAGGUACAGUGAGGUGUCGUGAGGUAUAAUGAGGUACAGUGAGGUGUAGUGAGGUGUAAUGAGGUACAGAGAGGUAUAAUGAGGUAUAAUGAGGUACAGUGAGGUGUAGUGAGGCACAGUGAGGUAUAAUGAGGUACAAUGAGGUAUGAUGAGGUACAGUGAGGUGUAAUGAGUUAUAAUGUGAUUCAGUGACGUAUGAGGUACAGUGACGUAUAAUGAGGUACAGUGAGGUGUAGUGAGGUAUAAUGAGGUGUAGUGAGGUAUAAUGAGGUAUAAUGAGGUAUAAUGAGAUGUAGUGAGGCACAAUGAGGUAUAAUGAGGUGUAGUGAGGUAUAAUGAGGUACAGUGAGGUAUAAUGAGAUAUAAUGAGGUAUAAUGAGGUACAGUGAGGGAUAAUGAGAUAUAAUGAGGUACAGUGAGGGAUAAUGAGAUAUAAUGGGGUGUAGUGAGAUAUAAUGGGGUGUAGUGAGGUACAGUGAGGUAUAAUGAGGUAUAAUGAGGUACAGUGUGGGAUAAUGAGGUAUAAUGAGGUACAGUGAGGAAUAAUGAGAUAUAAUGGGGUGUAGUGAGGUACAGUGAGGUAUAAUGAGGUAUAAUGAGGUAUAAUGAAGUAUAAUGAGGUAUAAUGAGGUACAGUGAGGAAUAAUGAGAUAUAAUGGGGUGUAGUGAGGUACAGUGAGGUAUAAUGAGGUACAGUCAGGUAUAAUGAGGUACAGUGAGGUAUAAUGAAGUAUAAUGAGGUAUAAUGAGGUACAGUGAGGAAUAAUGAGAUAUAAUGAGGUACAGUGAGGUAUAAUGAGGUACAGUGUGGGAUAAUGAGGUAUAAUGAGGUACAGUGAGGUAUAAUGAGGUAUAAUGAGGUACAGUGAGGUAUAAUGAGGUAUAAUGAGGUAUAAUGAGGUACAGUGAUGUAUAAUGAGGUAUAAUGAGGUACAGUGAGGGAUAAUGAGAUAUAAUGGGGUGUAGUGAGAUAUAAUGGGGUGUAGUGAGGUAUAAUGAGGUAUAAUGAAGUAUAAUGAGGUAUAAUGAGGUACAGUGAGGCUAAAAACACUUUUCCUUUAGUAAACCAACAGAACAGUGAGGAGAAUGAACCUUUAAAAAUGUUAUCGUUGUAAAAAUGUUAGUUUUGAAGGCAGCAGGUUGU